rnacentral:lncRNA from 1 species
UGGUCUCUCAUUAUGCUCUAACAGAAGAGUCAUGUUCUAAGCAAAUCUUUUAUAAUAAGUAGCAUGUUGAACUGACUCAGAGUGCCUGAGGUUUUCUUUCUUUCUUUCUUUUUUAAAUUUAGAGGCAGAUUUGGAAUUAAAAAUACCUUGAUCAGAAUCCUCUUGCUAACCAGCCACAGUGGCCCAUGCCUGUAGUCCCAGUGGCCCGAGAAGCUGAGGCAGGGGGCUGUCNAAAAGAUUGGAGAUGUGGCUCAGUGGUUGAGUGUCCCUGGGUUCAAUCUCUGGUAUCUUCCUACCAAAACAAACAAAAAAAUCCUAUUGUUUCCUCCUAAUUCAGUAUGUUUCCAUGAAGGCAGCAGGCAUGGUGUCUAGUUCUACUCUGACAUUUAUUGGCCAUCCAACUUUGCACAAGGUAUUGUCUCCGUUGUAAAGUGGCCUAAUGAUACUACUGCGUAACAUUGAGCAGAAAUACGAAUUUAAAUAUAUCUACACACCAUGCCUGGUCUACAGCAGGUACUAGAGAAAUGGUAACCAUUUUUAUUUAAGGUGACAGUUUUAGUCAUCUUUUUUGUUGCUAUGACUAAAAGACCUGACAAGAACAAUUGAGAGGAGGACAAGUUUAUCUUGGCUCAUGGUUUCAGAGGUUCACUCCAUGGUCAGCCACCUCCAUAGCUCUGGGCCUAAGGUGAGGCAGAACAUCAUGGCGGAAGGGUGUGGGAGGUAUAUGGGGACAUGACAACUAGGAAGCAGAAAGACAGACAGCUUAGUUCACUAGAGACAAAAUAUAAACCCCAAAGUGACCCCCCUGACUACUUACUCUAGCCACACCCUACCUGACUCCAGUUACCAGCUAUUGAUCCAGAUCAGUGGAUUAAUCCACUGAUUAGUUAAAGCUCUCAUAACACAAUAAUUUCUCCUCUAAAUAUUCUUGCGUUGUUUCACACAUGAGCUUUUGGGGGACCCUUGGUAUCUAAACCAUAAUAGUGACUAACAGAUUGAUUUCUUGAGGUUCACUAUGCUCUCUUCCGAUGACAGAGGGUAACUGUGACUUCAUAGGAAAGGAACUGGGUUAGGCUGUUUUGUCCAGACAACAGGAAGCAAACUCGGAGAGUCUAUAGACCAGCUCUCCCCAGACCUCUGAGAACCAUCUCGGGGGUAUUGCUGAGCACAAGAGUCCAAGUCAGUGAAAAUCCUGGGGGCAUGAGGAAGCCAUAUUUUGAAUUCUAUCUUGUUCUAUCCUGGAAUUGGUAGGUUCUGUUUAAAAGUUCCAAUCCUGACUUUCCUACGGGUUCCUUCUUUAAAUGUCAGGCACAUUAAACUAAAAGAAUAAUCUUUCAUUUAUUCAGUCCAAAUUCAGCCCUUUUUGCUAUUGUUGUUUGGAAGCAGCAAUUAAUUUUGAAGGAUGAAAGGAUUGUGUGGUUAGAAAAGACGAUUGGGGAAAACAGUGUUUUUCAAGAGUAUCUGUACACAUUUGCUCUUGAAUAAACUGAACUCACUAAAUAAAUUAGAUCCCACGAAAGCAUAAUUUUCUAAUUCAUCAACUAAUUAAUCACGGAUGCAAUGACUGAGCCCGAAUGAUUUUUUUUUAC